UACGUAGGGUGCGAGCGUUGUCCGGAAUUACUGGGCGUAAAGAGCUCGUAGGUGGUUUGUCGCGUUGUCCGUGAAAACUCACAGCUUAACUGUGGGCGUGCGGGCGAUACGGGCAGACUGGAGUACUGCAGGGGAGACUGGAAUUCCUGGUGUAGCGGUGAAAUGCGCAGAUAUCAGGAGGAACACCGAUGGCGAAGGCAGGUCUCUGGGCCAUAACUGACGCUGAGAAGCGAAAGCAUGGGGAGCGAACAGG
rnacentral:rRNA from 1 species